GGCAGAACUGCUACAUAUAGAUUUACGAGACCUUGGUACUUUUUCGAUGCUAUAUUUGCAUUUACACAACUUGGUAGAAUACAAAAAGAUGCGUUGAAAACGUUGCACAGUUUUUCGAGAAAUAUAAUUGCGGAAAGGAAACGUUUUCACAAACAAACUAAUGGGAAAUAUUUGCAAAUCUAUGAGAA
rnacentral:lncRNA from 1 species